rnacentral:lncRNA from 1 species
UAAAAGUAAUGGUGUUUCAAAGGAAGUUGAUGAGACUGGCUUGUGGACAUGGGUCUGAAUGAUUCUAAACCAGGUGAGGUAAAAGAAAGAGAACUCCACAAUGCACGUAGUGGCACGAAGUCUAAAGCUCAGUACCUUCUGUGAGCCGAACAACUACCAAGAAUUUUCAGAAGGGGCUGGUGAUGCACAAGGGAGAAUUAAGAAUGUGGUUGGGCGUCAACUUUCCUACUGUGGUUCUUCGGCAAAAUACAACGGUCAGUGCAUCAUGGGAUAUGCUAGCAAGGACAUCAAGGGGCAGGAUAGUUCCCCAAGGAAGCAGUCAUAAAACACAAAACACAGAUCACGAAGUCAUGAAAACUAAGGUGUGGAGCAGAAGCGAGCAGCAUCACUGCAAGAGCGUAAACCGUCAGAGUGGCCUGCGAAGUGCACUUCAUACUGUCGAACACUCUAGAAAUGACGUGUCUGAAACCAUCAGGAGAUUUCAAGCAUGGGAGAUUUUACAAGGGGGCAAAUGAAAGCACUCAGGGGGAGGUCCUAAAGAAGUUAGAAGUAGUAUGUUUACAGGGAUUUUAUAGGGGUUGCAAGAGUGCAUACUUCAUAGACUAACUUUUAUCCCUUCAAAGCACAAGUAAAUUUGGCCACAGAGCAUCUUCCCAGCAACAGUGACCUGUAC